GUCCGCACCGUAAACGAUGAUUACUCGUUGUUGGCAAUAUGACCGUCAGCGACCAAGCGAAAGCGAUAAGUAAUCCACCUGGGAGUACGCCGGCAACGGUGAACUCAAGGAAUUGACGGGGCCCGCACAAGCGGAGGAGCAUGUGGUUUAAUUCGAUGAUACGCGAGGAACCUUACCUGGGCUUGAAAGUUAGUGACCGGUCCUGAAAGGGAUCUUCCAGCAAUGGCGCGAAACUAGGUGCUGCAUGGCUGUCGU
rnacentral:rRNA from 1 species